rnacentral:rRNA from 1 species
GUGUCAGCAGCCGCGGUAAUACGUAGGUGGCAAGCGUUGUCCGGAUUUAUUGGGUUUAAAGGGUGCGUAGGCGGCCCUGUAAGUCAGUGCUGAAAUAUCCCAGCUUAACUGGGAGGGUGGCAUUGAUACUGCGGGGCUAGAGUACAGAUGAGGUAGGCGGAAUUGACGGUGUAGCGGUGAAAUGCUUAGAUAUCGUCAAGAACACCUAUAGCGAAGGCAGCUUACUAGGCUGUAACUGACGCUGAGGCACGAAAGUGUGGGGAUCAAACAGGAUUAGAUACCCUGGUAGUCCACACUGUAAACGUUGAUUACUCGCUGUGUGCGAUAUACAGUACGCGGCCAAGCGAAAGCGCUAAGUAAUCCACCUGGGGAGUACGCCGGCAACGGUGAAACUCAAAGGAAUUGACGG